GACGAACGCUGGCGGCGUGCUUAACACAUGCAAGUCGAACGGAAAGGCCCUGCUUUUGUGGGGUGCUCGAGUGGCGAACGGGUGAGUAACACGUGAGUAACCUGCCCUUGACUUUGGGAUAACUUCAGGAAACUGGGGCUAAUACCGGAUAGGAGCUCCUGCUGCAUGGUGGGGGUUGGAAAGUUUCGGCGGUUGGGGAUGGACUCGCGGCUUAUCAGCUUGUUGGUGGGGUAGUGGCUUACCAAGGCUUUGACGGGUAGCCGGCCUGAGAGGGUGACCGGCCACAAGAGGACUGAGGUACGGCCCAGACUGCUACGGGAGGCAGCAGUGGGGAAUAUUGCACAAUGGGCGGAAGCCUGAUGCAGCAACGCCGCGUGCGGGAUGACGGCCUUCGGGUUGUAAACCGCUUUCGCCUGUGACGAAGCGUGAGUGACGGUAAUGGGUAAAGAAGCACCGGCUAACUACGUG
rnacentral:rRNA from 1 species